rnacentral:rRNA from 1 species
UACGGAGGGAGCUAGCGUUGUUCGGAAUUACUGGGCGUAAAGCGCACGUAGGCGGCUAUUCAAGUCGGGGGUGAAAGCCCGGGGGCUCAACCCCGGAAUUGCCUUUAAGACUGCAUCGCUUGAAUCCGGGAGAGGUGAGUGGAAUUCCGAGUGUAGAGGUGAAAUUCGUAGAUAUUCGGAAGAACACCAGUGGCGAAGGCGGCUCACUGGACCGGUAUUGACGCUGAGGUGCGAAAGCGUGGGGAGCAAACAGG